rnacentral:lncRNA from 1 species
GUUCAGAAGAAAAUGUAGCUCUAAGUACCCUCAUGGAAUUGCAUAUGUGGGUCAAUAAGACAAGCAUCUGGAUUUUGAUCUUUUUUUUUUUUUUAAUAACUUCUGAAUGCAGCAAGGAAAGAGUUAUUUAUUUGACUGGGUAUUAACAGUGUGAGAACAGAUAAGCUUGUAUUUGGAAAUGGAACCACUCUCACAGUUGAACCAGAAAAUCAGAAUGAUUCUAUUCCAGAAGUCAUUGUGAUGAAAUCAAGGAAACAUGAAGAAGAUGGUGACACUGGGAAAGCAGCUUGUCUGGCAAGGAAUUUUUAUAAGAAGAAAAUCAGUUUAGAGAUGUCCUCUAAAGAAGUUGUGUACGAACCAAAAGCACCCAUUGUGACAUCAAAUGGGAUGUAUAAUACUAUUAAAGUGGUCAAAGUGACAAAAAAAUCGGAGGUGACGUGCACGGCCAGGUUAAGCAACGGCAAUUUUACAGCCAACUCAACAUCACCAGAAAUGAAAGCUGAAGAAAUAAAGCCAGUAAAUAUUUGCAACACCACAGACACCUCUGCAGAAGAUAUCAAAAUGGAGAAAGUGAACAUGUUGUCCAUGGCCGUGUUGGGUUUGAGAGUACUGCUGGCAAAAAGUAUUGCCUUCAAUACACUCAUGAGUAUCAAGUUGAUUCUUUUCUGAGGCAUUGGAGAAACAAGACAGCAGAAGUGUGAGGAACAGAAGGAAAGAGCAUUUACCAGUAUGAAUUUCAGGGAUGGAAAACCUUCCGAGACAGUUUAUGUAACUGUUAGAGUUGUAACUGAUUUUGCUAUUUCUUGUUCUCCGUGAACUGAGGAGAGUAUAUUUUUCUUCAUUCCUUUGCUAAGUAUGAAUUGUUUUUCCCUCUCUUUUAUCCUUUGCAUAGAAGCAUCCCACCAGCACUGAUAGUUUUAAAAAUCAGAGCCUCACCACAGGUACAUGACCAUUUUAAAAUGCCUUUUACAGGAAUGUUGCAUUACUCCAUAGAACUGAGAUUUUACAGCUGCGAGGAUUCGGGAGAGGCUAUUAAUGGUCUUACUGCUUUUUAGAUAGCUUCAAUAACAAUCUUUUACUAGUGUAGAUGAAGAGAUCUGUGUUGGACCUGAAGUGAUUCACUGCAACCAGAUAAUGUUCAACCACAGUAACAGUUCUAUUUGCAUUUCUUUAUUUAACUUGUAUCACUUCUGCAAAGUAUACAACACCUCUGUUUUAAGUUGCUGUAGUCAUUGCCCAAAUAAAGUUUUAGUAUGCUAAAAUGCUGUAGUUUGU